CUGCUGCCUCCCGUAGGAGUUUGGACCGUGUCUCAGUUCCAAUGUGGGGGACCUUCCUCUCAGAACCCCUACGCAUCGUCGGCUUGGUGGGCCGUUGCCCCACCAACUACCUAAUGCGCCGCAUGCCCAUCCGUGACCGGGGUCGCCCCCUUUGGCCGGCAGGGGAUGUCCCCUCCCGGCAUUAUGUUGUAUUAGGCGGGAUUUCUCCCGGUUAUCCAUCUGUCACGGCCAGGUUGCAUACGUGUUACUCACCCGUGCGCCGGUCGCCGGCGGAG
rnacentral:rRNA from 1 species